rnacentral:piRNA from 1 species
AGUCUAAAAUGAACAUGAUAUGUGUCA